ensembl:snoRNA U3 Small nucleolar RNA U3
AAGACUAUACUUUCAGGGAUCGUUUCUAUAGUUUUUUAACUAGGAAAUGUGUUUCCAUAGUGUUUUGUUUCCUAAACCACGAUGAAGAGUAUUGAUACUUUUUUCUGAGCGUGAAUCGGGUGUAGAGUAAUGAUUUACUUCAUAUGCUUUAUAUUAUUGAUGAACGUUCCUUACUGUUGUUUUGCAGUUUGGAGGAAGAGAGUAUGAUUAGAGUGGU